UACGUAGGGUGCAAAGCGUUGUCCGGAAUUAUUGGGCGAAAGGGCUCGUAGGCGGUCUGUCACGUCGGGAGUGAAAACUCGGGGCUUAACCCCGAGCCUGCUUCCGAUACGGGGCAGACUAGAGGUAUGCAGGGGAGAAUGGAAUUCCUGGUGUAGCGGUGAAAUGCGCAGAUAUCAGGAGGAACACCGGUGGCGAAGGCGGGUCUCUGGGCCGUAACUGACGCUGAGGAGCGAAAGCGUGGGGAGCGAACAGG
rnacentral:rRNA from 1 species